GAAUAACCACCCUACACGACUGGAAUGUCCGAUCUGAUGAAGGAAAAUUGAGUAUAACUUUGUGAGCUUGGAUGAACUACCUAAGAGAAAAUGGUCCGCUAAGUGGGUAAACUAACCCCACCCGCUCGAAAUCCUGGCUACAGGCCUGCGUGUGCUAAUUACGUCGACUCUUUUAUUCCAACACCUCUGCUCCCGAUAUAACAUUUUGCCUAGACCUAGACCUUGAUGAGUGAGAUAACCCUUGUGCAUUCUCAAAGUAGAACUUGACCUCCUCGGCCACGCGUUUGCUGUGCGCUGCGAUUUUGUAGAAGAAGCCAAAGAGCCUCUGUUUGGUGAAAAAUCUACAAGAAAAAUCUACAAGAAAAAUCUACAAGAACAAAAGAACAUGGCAAAUUAAACAAUGCGAUGCUUACUACGAUGAGUAAUCUAAGAACUAUACUGUAGUUGGUUUAAUGCUAUGACUUCGUCAUUUGGUGUCUUAUUCUGUCUAAUAAUCUUUAUUACUCGACACUUCUAUUUCAUAGAUCGAUGUACGAUGAACUUAUAAUUUAUUUUUUCAGGUUAACAGAAAUCACUAAAAUUAUUUAUUAUUGGAAGCGUUUUAUCUUUUGAACAAGACGGUAAAUUUCUUUUAAACUUUAAUAAUGGUAUUGGAAUGAUAUAACUAUCCGUUUGAAUGAAAACAUAGAAUGUUCAUUGUCUCACAUAAAUGCAUUAUCCAAUCAGAGAGUACAAAAUUUGGCGCUUUUUCAUUGGUUAGGAAGAUCAACAAACGGAUUCUGCUACUGGUAAAUGGCUUUCGUGCCAGGGCAUGCCUAGCAAAAAGAGACAUGUAACCCUGUAUAUCCCAGUAUGUUUCAUCUUUGUCAAAUAGUAUAUCCUUUGUCUAAACUAGGGCGUCUUCGAAGUAUUGGAUGCUAUCUCCUAAUACAAUUUAGUAUGGCUCACCUUGGUAGCAAACGAGUGUCCACCCUCCCCUCCCACGCUGUAAAGGUGAAUGCCUUUUAUGCUGACUUCCGCCUUGCAUUUCGGGAUGAUUUUCAGGUCGUCCUUGCUCGCGUACACGCUUUGCAUCUUGUAACCCAGCUGAUCAAGGCCCGGAAAUAGCGUCCGAACAGAACCCAGGUAUCGGCAAGAUAUGGCCUGAUACAACUUAGUUUCUGACUGUGGCGACCACGCCCUGGUUCAAGUGAAAAGAUGGAAAGAAGUGGAAUGGAACAGAAUAGGUCCCUAAGAUAUGUUCUUCUAAUUUCGCCCAAAAUAGGAAAGAACAAGACUAUAAAGAAGGGGCGGAUCUUACUUUUUGCUAGAGGCGGCUUUGAAUCAGCGAGAAAGGAGGUUAGGGAGGCUAAUAAUAUUUUGCUACAAUUGGUUUUCUGACUCACACAGACACAAAUACAGAAGGCGGUUUUAUCGAUAAAAUGGCACCAAUCAGUUUUCCAAUAGUGUUUCACUUACUUCUCUUUUUUUUCUGGGUACUUUGUUAAAAAGCAGCAGAAGAAAGGAUAGGGGCAUAUACAAACAAACACAUAUACAUAACUUUUUCCCUGGGAGGCCAAUUAGGGAGGGGGGGGGAACUUUCUAAACUAAUAUAGAUACUACUGACGCAAAAGAAAUAAAAUCUGAUGAUGACA